rnacentral:rRNA from 1 species
GACAAGACGGAAAGACCCCAUGAACCUUUACUAUAGCUUCACAUUGGUAUUGGGUAAAUGAUGUGUAGGAUAGCUGGGAGGCUUUGAAACCAGGACGCCAGUUCUGGUGGAGCCAACCUUGAAAUACCAGCCUGACCUGUUUGAGGUUCUAACUUCGACCCCUUAUCGGGGUUAAGGACACUGUGUGGUGGGUAGUUUGACUGGGGCGGUCGCCUCC